rnacentral:misc_RNA from 1 species
GAUGAGGAACGCAGCGAAAUGCGAUAAGUAAUGUGAAUUGCAGAAUUCAGUGAAUCAUCGAAUCUUUGAACGCACCUUGCGCUCCUUGGUAUUCCGAGGAGCAUGCCUGUUUGAGUGUCAUUAAUAUAUCAACCUUCUCUUUUUUGAGUUGUUUGGAUGUGGGGGUUUGCUGGCCUCUUAAAUGAUUCAGCUCCCCUGAAAUGCAUUAGCAGAACAACCUGUUCAUUGGCGUGAUAAUUAUCUAUGCUAUUGAAUGUGAGGGCAGUUCAGCUUUCUAACCGUCCUUGGACAAUUCAUCAUUAAUGUGACCUCAAAUCAGGUAGGACUACCCGCUGAACUUAAGCAUAUCAAUAAGCGGAGGA